CAUUCACUUAGCCCCUUCAUCCAGUCCCUAUGGAAACUCAUCCUCAAAUGCUCAGCGCCACCUCCGUCUCUCUCUCUCUCUCUCUCCCUCCGUCCCUCGGUUCGGCCGCCUCCUCGCCCAACCCGAACCCGAUAAGCUAAUCACCGAGGGUUUGACCCUUGCAGCCCUAGCUUACACCAGGUCUUUAACGAGUUAUCUUCAACAGGCGUUUCUUUGGGAGGCAGCGUUAGGGCGGCAUACGAGGUUAGGGUUUAUUUUUUUAGUUAGAGUGAUCGAGAGGGAUUUAGGGUUCUUUGAAGGGAAUGAUGAUGUUUUCGCUGGGCAUGUUGCGCAUCGGAUCACGACGGAGGUGGCAGAUGUUGCCGAUACGACGUUCUUCCUUAUGUGUCGUUUGGCAUUGCAUAUCUUGGUGAAAGGCUCUGCAAAAAACCCAAGAAUGCGUAGUCAAGUGCUGCUAGACUAUCCGCCUCCCUAAAUAAGGCUAACAAUGGAGAGUUUAGUGAGUGCUCACGAUUCCAGAGGCAUGCUCUUGAUGAUUUGGUACAAAGGUCGAAGAAGCGAAAAAUGAAGGCACUCAUACAUCUGAUUGUCCAGGUCAUAUGUAUAGGUGGAUUGAUACUCCUUUGUGCUGGUUCAUUGAUUGUCUCAAGAAAUUCCUCAGGCACUUCGAGUUUAGUGUCGUUUAUAACGUCUCUAAUCCUCUUGGUUGAGCCUCUUCGGGUAACUUAUCUAUUCCUACUUAAAGCAUAUAUUAUGUAUCAAAGAUAUUCAAACUUUAACGUAACAUUCCUAUUUAGCUACUAUUACUAAUAGUUUUGUUCCUCAAAUGAAUAUUCUUAAAUUAAGAAAUGUGUACAGCUAAAGGGCAAAUAAACAAUUUGUGUCAUCAUGUGAAAAACAAAAUCUGGAAACAUUAUUGAGGUGCACGACAUAAUGAACAAUUUUUUUAGGUUUAUACCAAUGUUUUCUUGAAUUCCUUAUUAGCUUUUAGAGAUGAUUUGCUUCCGCAGCCUAUAUACAUGGAUAUCAUGGGGAUGGCAUUUGAUGAGCAUGUAGCUGCAAGUGGUGGAGAGGCUAGAGUAGGUACCGUAGGAAGUAGCAGUACGGUAUGGUAUUUUGAUACAGCCGUCGCUAACAAUAGGGAUCACGACGAUAGAGACCAAUAUGACUACGAUGAAUGAGUAGUGAGUUAGACUUUUUUGUUACUUAUGUGGACUUUUGGAUUGUGUUGAACAUAUUAUGACCUCCAGAUUAUAUAUAUGUGAAUCGAUGAAUGAUGAAUGUGAUUAUUGUUGGAUGUGAAUCGAUGAAUAUGAAUUAAUGAA